rnacentral:rRNA from 1 species
UACGUAGGGACCGAGCGUUGUCCGGAAUCAUUGGGCGUAAAGGGUGCGUAGGUGGCGCUGUAAGUCGGGUGUGAAAUUUCGGAGCUUAACUCCGAAACUGCAUUCGAUACUGCGGUGCUUGAGGACUGGAGAGGAGACUGGAAUUCAUGGUGUAGCAGUGAAAUGCGUAGAGAUCAUGAGGAAGACCAGUGGCGAAGGCGGGUCUCUGGACAGUUCCUGACACUGAGGCACGAAGGCCAGGGGAGCAAACGGG